rnacentral:misc_RNA from 1 species
UACGGGGGGGGCAAGCGUUGUUCGGAAUUACUGGGCGUAAAGGGCGCGUAGGUGGUUCGCUAAGUCGGAUGUGAAAACUCUGGGCUCAACCCAGAGCCUGCAUCCGAAACUGGCGGGCUAGAGUUCUGGAGGGGGAAGCGGAAUUCCUGGUGUAGCGGUGAAAUGCGUAGAUAUCAGGAGGAACACCGGUGGCGAAGGCGGCUUCCUGGACAGAAACUGACACUGAGGCGCGAAAGCUAGGGGAGCAAACAGG